rnacentral:tRNA from 1 species
AGGGAUUUAGCUUAGUGGUUCCGGUGUCUGCCUCGCAAGCAGAAGGUCCCAAGUUCAAUCCCUG